rnacentral:ncRNA from 1 species
GCAGAGUAAAAGGAUCUGCGUAUGUCUUUUGCAAAAGACAGUGCCCUGCGGACGGGGAGUUGCCGCGGGGACGAAGUCGGGCGGAGGCCCGCGCGGUAGAUCCUUUGCAUCCCGCUGC